UCCAAAUGUGUGCAACACAGCCUUUCUG
rnacentral:piRNA from 1 species